AUGAGCUUUUAAAGCACCAAAACACUAUUUCUACAUUUACAAGCCCAAAGGAAAAGGUAAAAAUAAUCCUAGGAGUAUUGAAGGGAUGCUGCAGAGCACUGUGAGGAGCUCACUUGAUGCCAUCACAUGGAACUGCCAGGAGCCCAUGGGAGGGCAGACACUGUUCAGGUCACUUGCUCCAGGCGAACUGGCGUGGGCAGAGGUGCAAUCCCAGCCCAAACAGCUGUGCAGAGAGAGGGGUGAGACCUGCCAGGGGGACAGCAGCAGCAGCAGAGCUCCUCAAACAGAGCAAAUCAAAGGCCUGGAGAAGUCAGGAGGAGUUAUUUUUGUGGAGGGGGGUCUGAAAACUCGUGUGAGGAAUCUCCUGCAGCUGAGUCUGGCCUGGCUGGAUUGAGAAACAGCUCUUCCAGGAGGAUUCCAUCAUUCUGAGAGUGAGCGGGGCAGACCCUGAGCACACAACCCUCGACCUUCUUGAGGCUGUUCCCAGGCACUGAUCCUGCCCCCAGCCCAUGCCCUGUGUGUGCAGCUGUCCCUGCAGUGCAGAGGUGUCUGAACAGCUUGGUGUCACUGAGAGCUGCUCUCUGCUUCCCAGGUGAGAUGCUUAAUGAUCCAAAUAUAAUCCAAACAACUUGAAUACAUACAUCACCUUGAGAGAAAACCACACAAACGCCUUUCCAGCCUCAUCUUAUGCAUCAGAUGGCACCAAAUGUCAGAUGUUUUGGCUUUUGUUUUCAUAUGACUGCCAUAAUUUCUGGUAAAUAUAUUCAACAAACAACUCGGUCAGCAGCGGCAAACUUCAGACACAGCUUUGCCUUCAUGCAUUCCCUCCUUCCCACCCACUGCUUGAAACUGUGCAAAUGCAUAAACCAAUUACAGGGUUAAAACAAAAAUAAACGAUUUGUCCUUCAUCA
rnacentral:lncRNA from 1 species